GAGUAAUGCAUAGGAAUCUACCUAGUAGUAUGGGAUAGCCACUAGAAAUGGUGGGUAAUACUGUAUAAUCCCUGCGGGGGAAAGAUUUAUCGCUAUUAGAUGAGCCUAUGUUAGAUUAGCUAGUUGGUAGGGUAAAGGCCUACCAAGGCAGUGAUCUAUAGCUGGUCUGAGAGGAUGAUCAGCCACACUGGAACUGAGAUACGGUCCAGACUCCUACGGGAGGCAGCAGUGGGGAAUAUUGGACAAUGGGCGCAAGCCUGAUCCAGCUA
rnacentral:rRNA from 1 species